rnacentral:rRNA from 1 species
GCCUACGGCCAUACCAGCCUGGGUACGCCUGAUCUCGUCUGAUCUCGGAAGCUAAGCAGGGUCGGGCCUGGUUAGUACUUGGAUGGGAGACCGCCUGGGAAUACCAGGUGCUGUAAGCA